rnacentral:rRNA from 1 species
GUAGGGAAUAUUGGUCAAUGGACGAAAGUCUGAACCAGCCAUUCCGCGUGCAGGAAGAAGAUUCUAUGGAUUGUAAACUGCUUUUAGCAGAGAAGAAACGCCUUCAUUGAUGAGGGUUUGACGGUAUCUGCGGAAUAAGCACCGGCUAACUCCGUGCCAGCAGCCGCGGUAAUACGGGGGGUGCAAGCGUUAUCCGGAAUCACUGGGUUUAAAGGGUGCGUAGGCGGGAAAUUAAGUCAGUGGUGAAAGUCUGUUGCUUAACGAUAGAAUUGCCGUUGAUACUGAUUUUCUUGAAUUGGGUUGAGGUUAGCGGAAUGUGACAUGUAGCGGUGAAAUGCAUAGAUAUGUCAUGGAACACCAAUUGCGAAGGCAGCUAGCUGGGCCUUGAUUGACGCUGAGGCACGAAAGCGUGGGUAGCGAACAGGAUUAGAUACCCGGGUAGUCC